AUAAAAUAAGUGAAAAAGCUGUUCGGAAGUGAUUUUUCUUUACGUAUUUCAUUUAUUUGCUAAGAUUUACGAGUAAAGUUGUAAAAUAUUGGAAGAUUUGAAUCGCUCAACUUACAAAAGAGUCCAUCGUUUUGUAUCAGUGGUUUUUCUUUGUUUUGAAUUAUUGUGUUAGAAGUAGCGAUAGUGUUCGAAUUAGUUUUCGCGAAGAUCAUCUGUCAUCGUGAGCUUGUCAGAUCAACUCGACUUCAAGCUUGAGGAUUGAAUCUGGAACUCUGACUUCUCGAAGCUGUUGCCAACCUCCAACUCCAAUACAAGAUUACGGGAUCAGGUUCUAAUCCAGGAUUAUCUAGUCCUUUGAGAAUGGAUGUUGAACUCCAG